GGGCCGGUGGCGGAACAGGCAGACGCGCGUGGCUUAGGACCACGUGGGGCAACCCGUGGGGGUUCGAAUCCCCCCCGGCCCA
rnacentral:tRNA from 1 species